UGAUGGUAAAAUAUUAAUGCUCCUUCAAAAUCUAAGGUGGAAUAAACGACUUGAUUUUCUUCUACAUGGCCUCAGGCCUGGAGAAUUUCAUUCCCAGGAAUGAACUGCAAAGCUUGUGGUAGCACAGGGAUCUGCACGUGAAGUUGGAGAGCAGAGUGAAAGGCAAGAGCAACCAAGGAGAGAAAAAACAUCCAAUAUGAAUUAGCGGGCAUCCUCUUUCUCCCUUUUAGAGGAAAGGGUUGAGACUGAAGCAGGGCCUGGAGGAAGGGCCUGUUCAGAUGUCCUAAGAGUCAUGGUAGUGGAGAAGCCUGCUCACAGGGCAUGUAUGGACAAGGUAGCACAGAGCAGUGUUUCAUCACUACAUCAGCUUUCACUGUGUCUCCGGAUGUCCCCAGCUGUACUUACCUUUGCAGGUCUCUCCAGGUGGCAGGAUGUGCCUGUUAACCCCGUGGGAUCCUCACCUUGCCCAGCAGGUUUGCUGAUGCUGCUGGCUGCCAUCAGCCUGAGUUUGACAGAUAUCAUACAUUAUGUUCUUAUUUAUGAAUUCUAUAUGACUUGAACUGAUGCUCUUUGGCAGUUAAGAGAAAAAUCAAGUGCUUUGCUGAAGAAGCUGAACAUGGAACACUGAGGAUGGAGCUGUCGCUGCAGUGGUGAUGCCAUAACCCCAACACGUCCUUCCUCUGAACCAAAUGCAGAUGCUGUUUCACUAGGGUAACCACUGCCUAAAGCUGCCCUGAGCACAUGGACCUGAGAAGUCCUGGAAACCACGCUCCCUGCAGGGCAGGUGGAAAGAGGGCUCUGGGUGUCAGCCGUGAUUUCAUGGAGAAAAGCAGCUUGUUAGACACAGACAUCAGCUGGGAGUGGAAAUUUCAGGAGAGACCUGUUGUGCCACAGAUGUCUUUAAAGUCCAUUGGUUAAAUAAUGCUUGUGUACUAGAGAGAAGGUCAUCUUCAGCAGCCUCCCUUGGUUUAAGGAAUAGUCAUGGGGUGGAAAAGAAAAAGGAUUUUUUGUAGACCCUGUCAACAGUACUCUGAAUCCUCUUUGUGCUGGCAGAUGUGGAGAUACAGAGUGUCUCAGAUGCAGGGUGUGUGUCCACCUUCAACAUCUGUUACCAGUCCUCAUUGCCUCCUGAAAGGAUGGCUCCAUCCGUGCCCUGGGUUGUGCCCUGACUGGUACCCUGUAGGUGAUGCCUGCUCCUACAGCACAUGAACCAGCUCAAGGAAGUUCCAAGUUCAGCUGCAGCCAUUUCAGUCCAGAAGAUCCUUAAAUCUGGUGGUUUUGGUAUUAAGGAGCAGCCUCCUCUACCUGAUCUAAGCAAGAUGCUCUUCAGUCAGGUAGGCUCCUUGAUAUACUUCUUUCCCUUCAUAUUUUAAUUUAGGACUGAUUUUAUAAGAAAUGUGGUGUUAUUUCCUGCUUGUACAUCUUUCUACAGUACACAGACUGAAUAUGGAAAUCUGUUGAUGGCCUUUUCCAAAGAGGAUUAUUGUAAUGCUACUGGUGUUUACAGUUACAGCCACAAACCACCUAUUCAUGGCUCCUUUUGAACUCCGUCCAACCCA
ensembl:lncRNA